rnacentral:ncRNA from 18 species
GCAACGUUACGUGGUGCCGGUGUUCCAAAUCUUGGAUCACUGGGAACAGGGAACUUCGGUGAGAUUCCGAGACGGCCCGGCCGCUGUAUCCGAUGCGAAGUUGCUGACUUGGCAACUUCCAAGCAAACAUUCCUCUUGUGCCAUUGUCGUUGAUCGGAAUUAUCCGUGACGGACGAGAAGGCGAGCGUUUGCGAGUUUGCAUCGGGAGUCAGAAGACCUACCACGAAACGGACACUAUGU